rnacentral:lncRNA from 1 species
GCCAUUUUUUCUCUCUUUUGGAUUUGAGAGGAACAAAACAUACAAUAUAUUUCUCAGGGGGCCCACAAAUUUCCUUCGAUUAGAAAUACCCUCACAAGUCAUCUUCUUCAGAUGGACAAUCUUCAUAUUCAUGCACCAGCUCACUGAAACAAUACUAAUACACACUCCAGCGAGAGAGAUAUAGACGCACACACGCAGAGAGAAUCGGGAGAGAGCGAAUAAAAAAGGGGCCUGAACAGUGGUCGGCUAGCGUGAAUAGUAAACGCUGAACAGAGUAGGGUGAAGAACAGCUUUUCUCGGUGAGCUUGUCACCGGAAUAGUGCCUCAUUGUAGAGUCCGUCCACUCCUCCCUAAAACCCAAUUGAAACCAGCUUCAAACCCCCUAAAAUCAUGAUGCCAGUGCCCGACUACUCCGUCGCCACCAUUGUUACUGUUUUGGUGAUGGAGUUUUCGCCUGGAAUGCGCCAAAUCGGUCAAAAUCGUCCCAAAAAUAUCAAGAAAACAGUGAGUUCACCUUGGGUUUUUGACAAUUAAGUUAGAGGUCUAUUUGUGGUAUUGGUAAAAAAUGGAACAAAAGAGAUAUAUCGAAGUUGGAGUUAUUCGUUUGGUGAGGCUCGAUCCGAGAUUAUGGACGCGGUCCAAAUGAAAGGAGCAACUUUAAUCUAAAGCAACAUUUGAGGUUCAAUUCUAUCUUCUCUAUUUUUAUUUAGUUUUUAACAUAAUUAUGAAUGAUUUAUGUGUUUGGCAUGUUUGAAUCUUAGUGAUGUGUGGGUUGAUGUUGGAUUUGGAUAUGAAAACUUGAUCGGUGGAUUGUAUAUUGAAUUGGUUUAAUCGUGUUAAAAAAGUUGGGGCGCGAAUUGAAAAUUUGCUAAAUUGAAUUAGGAUUAAUUUUGAUUUAUUGUUAUUUUGAUUCAUUAACGUCGUCGAUCGUGAUUGUUCCAUGAUAGGUCAAGUUAGGUAGGCAAAAGUAGGUUGGGUAGGCAAAGUUUAGGAUCUGUGAUUGUUGAAAUGAUGAAAUAUUUGUGGAGUGGUUUCGAUUUAUGCAUUGGGAUCUAUUGUAUUCAUUUGGCCGGGUAAUGCCCCGAGGGAUUUGUAUUGAUUCACCGGGGAAUGUCCCGACGUAUCAUGUAUUCGGAGGACGUCCGUGAUGAAGGCCCAAAGCAUCGGGUUAGGUAUUGGAUCGUAGUUUAGGAUUAGUGUAGAUUAGCGUAGGUUUAUUUUUCAGUACAUUUUUUUUUUCAUUUCGGGUUGUAAUAAUUGGACUGGACAUUAUUAUUUUGGCUUUUGGAUUGUUGUUUGAUGUUUGUUUAUAUGCUUUGUGUGGUUUAUACAUUUGUGGUGUCUAAUUAGCCGAUACUCUCCACCAAGAGACCGUGGUCGAGCCACGGGACCGAGGGGUGCCUAACACCUUUUCCUUGGUCAACAGAAUUCCUUAGUCGGAAUCUCUGUUCGCGGAUCAAUUUUACAGAGUGAAAAUCAUUUUGAAAAAAGUUUUCCAAAGGUGACUUGGCAUACCUGAUUAUGCCAAGUGGCGACUCUGAGUUUUGAAUAUAAAUAAUCUUUUUCAAAAUAAAUUUUUAUUUUUUGUCACUUUGAUAAUAAAAAUCCUUUCAAACUUAAAACAAAAUCUUUUUUUGUUAAAAAAAGGGUGUGACAAGGAAAAGGAAAAAGAAAAAGAAAUAGAAGAAAAAGAAAAGAAAAGGAAAAAAUAAAAAAGGAAAAAUGAAUAUUAAGGAAUAAAAAUCUGCCACUAAGAUGGUAUGACACGCGUCAUCUGCCUCAUUCAGUGUUCGGUCAUGUGGAUUUUAAAUUGUCAUAGUGAAAAAAUAUUUAAUAAAUCAGUAAUUUUUGUUAAGUUUCAUACUAAGUUGAAUGUAUUGAGCCUAUAUAAUUAGAGAAAAACUUAAUUAAUAAACAAAAGUAAGAGGUAUUUUUGCAAGAACACAAGGAUAAUCAAUAAUGAAGUGUGAAAUAAAGAACAUAAGUGAAUAUAAAGAAACCAUAGCCGGUGGGAAAAAGGGAGAUCUUAUAUCAACAAUUUUGAGGUGGGGUUGGUACUGUGGGGUAGUAGAGAGGGGUAUUCACGGGUUGGUUUAGGCUGAUUAUUGGUCAAAAUCAAAAUCAAAUCAAUAUACUAAGUUUUAAAUUAUUAAAACCAAAUCAUACCAAAUAUAAUAUAUAUUUAUUGAUUUGGUUGUUAUCGAUUUAGGUUCGUUUUGAUUCAAUUGUUUGAUUAUUAAUCAAAUACGAAAUAAAAGAAAUGAUUCAUUCAAAAGAAAAAAAAAAAAAAGACAACAAUUCAUUCAAAAGAACGAAAAAUUCUAGGAUUACCAUAUAAAUCGUUAACAUGACGUAUAUCUAAUACAACAUAUUUAAGUUAUAAAUAAAUUUUGAUGAAAACAUAUAUAAGAUAUUAAAAAUUAUUAUUAAUAAGCAAUUUAUGAUAUAUAAAUAAUUAUAAAAAAUAUAUAUAUAAAUUUUGAGUUCGGUUCGGUUAUUUCGUUGAUUUCUUUUGACAAAAUCAAAACAAGUCAAAUAUUAUUGAUUUUCAAAUAUGUAAAAUCAAACCAAAUAAGAUUCAAUUUUAUUAGCAUAAUUCAAUUUUUUUUUUUAAUUUGAGUCAGUUUUUACACAAACCUUGAACAUCCUUAGAGGUAGAGUGAGAAAAAAAAAAGAGAGAAAAGGGAAAAGAAAAAGAGAAAAGGGAAAAGAAAAAGAAAAAAAGAAAAAAGAAGAAGAAAUUAAAGAACAAGAAAGGAAAAGGAAAAAGAAAAAGAAAAGAAAAUAAAAGAAAAAAUGAAUAUUAAAGAAUAAAAAUCUAACACUGAGAUGGUAUAUUACAUGGAAUUUAUUUCAUCAAAUGUCAAGUCAUGUGGAUUUUAACUUGUUAUGGUAGAAAAUUGUUUAAAAAAUAAAUAUUUUUGUUAAGUUUCAUAAUGAGAGAGAUGUAUAAUAGUCUUAUGAUAUAAACACAAACUUAAUUAAUAAACGAAUGUAAGGAUGUAACAAGAACACAUGGAUAAUCAAUACUGACAUGUGCAAUAGGGGAUAUAGGUGGAUAUGAAGAACCUUAGCUGGUGUGGGAAAGAGCGGAUAUGACACCAAUAAUUUUGAGACAGAGAAAGAGAAAAGAAAAAGAAGAAAAGGAAAAAAGAAAAAGAAAAAGAAGAAAAAUGAAAAAAGAAUACUAACAAAUAAAAAUUUGACACUGAGGUCGUAUGCCGCGUGGCAUCCACAUCACACAAAUGUUAGGUCAUGUGAAUUUUAAAUUGUCAUGAUGGAAAGGUAUUUUUAUUAAGUUUCAUAAUGAGGGAUGUAUUUGAUCCUAUAACAUAACUGGAGAUAAACCUAAUUAAUAAAUGAAGAUGUAUUUUUGACAGUUUUCCUUAAAAAAUUGGUGUUCAUGGUUCCUUUGGAUCGAUUUUAGAUUAAAAUCAAAAAUCAAACUAAUUUAAUCAAUUUUUUAAUUUUUAAAAUCAAACCAAAUAAAGCAAAAAUCAUUGGUUUGGUUAUUUUCUAUGUGGUUCGAUUUUUUGUUUAUAACUAGCUAAUGAUGAAUGGAGAAUUGAAAAAUUACAGAGACAUGAAACAACUAUGUCAAAUACAUUAAUUAGGAUUUAAUAAAAUUUUCUCUACUAUCACAAAAUAAAUAUAUGUGAAUAUUCUUAUUUUUUAGCACUAUUCCAAAGAUUAAAUAUUUUUAAUUUGUAAAAUAGUAGAUGUUACUCUAGUUCACAUGUCUAACAUGCACAAAAACAAUGUACAAUUUAAAUAGAAUGAUCAACUCUUUAAAAAUGGAUGCAUGUCUUAGCAAAAAAAAAAAGAAACAAUCUAAAAACAAAAAAUACACCAGACUACAUAUAGAUAAUUAAACUUAGAGUAUUGGGCUUGAGCAAAAACUUUAAGAAAUGAAUUCUAAAAGUGUUAGUAGUGCAUGUGAAAUAAGUACAUUAAAAUUCAAUCAAUGAUUAAAAGGUAUAAAAUACUUAUAUUAUUUAUAAAAAACUAAUAUCAUUUAUUUAAAUAAUUUUAACAUUUAUAUAAAUAAUUUAUAGAUUUGUUUUUUUUUUUUAGCAAAUCAAAAUCAAAUCAACUAUUAUAGAUUUUUGAAAUUUAAAUCAAAUAUCAGUUUUUUAAUCAAUCGAUUUGAUUUGACAUAUAAUUUUUGUUUGUGUAUGUGGUAAAUAAGAUAAACAGAUGUAACAUUCGAACGAGUGAACACAGAGAUCUGGGAGGAUUGGUUCUUCGAGAAGGCAUCCUUGAUAAAGGAAGAGAAAGCACAUUAAGGUCAAGGGAGGGCUCAAACACCAAUGCAUGGACAAAGAGACAAGGGAGACAAAGUGUUAGACGGAUAAGGCGCGCCGACAAGCACAUAAAGAUCUAAGCGUUGCUGGAAUAUUAGCUGGCAUCACUAACGACAUUACUACGUAGUCUUCUACCAUUAGUUUUAGUACUUUAGGGCUCGAUUGUGCUUUUUAUUGUCUAGUGUCUCACCAUUAUAACCUACUAAUAGUUUACUUCAAACAGCUGUAAGGACAUUCUGAAUUCUAGCAAGACAACAUCGAUAUACUAUUUCUUGAGCAUCAAGCUUGUCUUUAAUUUAAUUACUUUUAAUUUUUUAUCUAGCAUAUUGGUUCAAGGACACCUUCGAAGCUACGAUUGACUUCUUAGAGAAGUCCACAAAUAUGUUAAAUCGAACGCUCGAAUCUAUAAUCUUU